UUCAUAUGUCGGUAAAUCCUUGUCCAAAUGUCGGUUUUAAUGUGCAACUGCCGGGAUUUCAUUUUGGGUGGCUCCAAACUAUUUCUUAAUCUUCUCUUCUAUCUCACACAUAAGCGCGUCCUUUCCAUUACCUUCCAAAAACUCGGUAGCAACCCAUUCACCCAGGGACCCAAAAAAGCUUCUUUCUUUUAAGGUUCAACAUUGAAGCAGACCCAAGAAAAG
rnacentral:misc_RNA from 1 species